UACGGGGGGAGCAAGCGUUGUUCGGAUUUACUGGGCGUAAAGGGCGGGUAGGCGGCCACCGCAAGUCAGUUGUGAAAUCUCCGGGCUUAACCCGGAAAGGUCAACUGAUACUGCGGGGCUAGAGUGCAGAAGGGGCAACUGGAAUUCUCGGUGUAGCGGUGAAAUGCGUAGAUAUCGAGAGGAACACCGGUGGCGAAGGCGGCGAUCUGGGUAGAUACUGACGCUGAGGUGCGAAAGCGUGGGGAGCAAACAGG
rnacentral:rRNA from 1 species